UACAGAGGGGGCAAGCGUUUAUUCGGAAUUAUUGGGCGUAAAGGGCGCGUAGGCGGCUUUGCAAGUGGCGGGUGAAAUCCCUCGGCUUAACCGAGGAACUGCCUGUCAGACUGGAAGGCUUGAGACCGGGAGAGGUGAGUGGAAUUCCCAGUGUAGCGGUGAAAUGCGUAGAUAUUGGGAGGAACACCAGUGGCGAAGGCGGCUCACUGGACCGGAACUGACGCUGAGGCGCGAAAGCGUGGGGAGCAAACAGG
rnacentral:rRNA from 1 species